UACGAAGGGGGCUAGCGUUGCUCGGAAUCACUGGGCGUAAAGCGCACGUAGGCGGCUUUUUAAGUCAGGGGUGAAAUCCUGGAGCUCAACUCCAGAACUGCCUUUGAUACUGGGAAGCUUGAGUCCGGAAGAGGUGAGUGGAACUCCGAGUGUAGAGGUGAAAUUCGUAGAUAUUCGGAAGAACACCAGUGGCGAAGGCGGCUCACUGGUCCGGUACUGACGCUGAGGUGCGAAAGCCAGGGGAGCAAACGGG
rnacentral:rRNA from 1 species